AACUAAUAUGCCAACACGAAAUACUUUGGUAUCAUGGUGGAUAACAGCACACACUGAGAACAUGUGAGAUAAAAUACAGAUAGACACAGAUCAGCACAUGUUGUCUUGUGCUCUGAAUAUCUCUAUUUUAAAUGAAGAAGAAAGAGUAUUUUUAUGGUUGCCAGUGCUGCCUGGAUACAAUUAGCAGAAUAUUAGUCUUAAUCAAAUAAAAAAUCUUGACAUUUAACUUUAGAGCAGGAGCAGUAUUUAGGAAAUGUAUGAGCCCCACGUUUCCACUAGACAUUUAGCUUGUUACUUUGGAAGUUUCUACUUGGUGCUGAGGGACCAAGUACUGGCUUAUCAUGUGUCUCGUAGCCAAUCUAGGGGAAAAAAAAAAAACACUUCAUAAACAUCCUACUAAAUUGUUAGGGAACUCUGUGUGGUGAUAUACAUUGUAUAGCUUUCAAAUUGUGGAAAUGUGUCUUAAAG
rnacentral:lncRNA from 1 species